rnacentral:rRNA from 1 species
GACGAACGCUGGCGGCGUGCUUAACACAUGCAAGUCGAACGGAAAGGCCCUGCUUUUGUGGGGUGCCCGAGUGGCGAACGGGGGAGUAACACGUGUGUAACCUGCCCUUGACUUUGGGAUAACUUCAGGAAACUGGGGCUAAUACCGGAUCGGAUCUCCUGCUCCAUGGUGGGGGUUGGAAAGUCUAGGCGGUUGGGGAUGGACGCGCGGCUUAUCAGCUUGUUGGUGGGGUAGGGGUUUACCCAGGCUUUGACGGGUAGCCGGCCUGGGAGGGUGGACGGCGACAAUGGGACUGAGGUAGGCACCAGAGUCGUAUGGUAGGCAGCGGGGGGGAGUAUGACACAGUGGGCGGGAGCCUGAUGCAAAGACGCUGCGUGUGGGAUGACGUCCUGCGGGGUGUAAACCGCUGUCGCUUGUUACGAAGCGGGAGUGACGGUAAUGGGUAAAGAAGCACCGGCUAACUACGUG